rnacentral:rRNA from 1 species
GAUACCCGCUGAACUUAAGCAUAUCAAUAAGCGGAGGAAAAGAAACCAACAGGGAUUGCCUCAGUAACGGCGAGUGAAGCGGCAACAGCUCAAAUUGAAAUCUGGC